AGGUGUUAGAGGCAGGUAGAGGUUUUAGACGUGGGGACAGGUGUUAGAGGCAGGGAAAGGUGUUAGAUGUAGGUAGAGGUGUUAGACACGGGGACAGGUGUUAGACGUGGGGAAAGGUGUUAGAGGCAGGUAGAGGUGUUAGAGACAGGGACAGGUGUUAGAGGUGGGGAAAGGUGUUAGAGGCAGGGACAGGUGUUAGAGGCAGGGACAGGUGUUCGAGGCAGGGACAGGUGUUAGAGGUGGGGACAGGUGUUCGAGGCAGGGACAGGUGUUAGAGGUGGGGACAGGUGUUAGAGACAGGGAAAAGUGUUGGAGGCGGGGACAGGUGUUAGACAUGGGGACAGGUGUUAGACGCAGAAACAGGUAUUAGAGGCAGGGACAGGGGUUAGAGGCAAGUAGAGGUGUUAGACAAAGGGACCCUCAGGAAACCAGCAGAGCCUCUGUUCUGCUGGUUUCUCUGAACCAGCAGGUUCUCUGGACCUAAUCUCAUCCAGAGAAACCAGGUCACAGAAAACCAGGAGACUUUCAGGAGGGACCUUCAUCCUGACAAGACCUCGGCUGGGGGAUGUGUUCUUGUGCCGGCGAGGUUCUGUGGUGAACAACAAACCUCUCCCCGCCCCUGCUCUAACGUCCGGUUGACUCUAAGGUCCGGUUGACUUUAAGGUCCGGCUGGGUGGAGUCUAAGGUCUGGUGGACUCUUAGGCCCAGCUGACCCUAAAGCACGGUGGACUCUAAGGUCCAAUAGACUCUAAGGUCCAGCUUGGUGGACUCCAAGGUCUGGUGGAUUCUAAGGUCCGGUGGACUGUAAGGUCCGGCUGGGUGGAGUCUAAGGUCUGGUGGACUCUUAGGCCCAGCUGACCUUAAAGCACGGUGGACUCUGAGAUCUGGUGGACUCUAAGGUCCAAUAGACUCUAAGGUCC